AUUGAACGCUGGCGGCAGGCCUAACACAUGCAAGUCGAGCGGAAGAAGGGAGUUUGCUCCUGGAUUCAGGGGCGGACGGGUGAGUAAUGCCUAGGAAUCUGCCUGGUAGUGGGGGAUAACGUCCGGAAACGGGCGCUAAUACCGAAUACGUCCUGAGGGAGAAAGUGGGGGAUCUUCGGAUCUCACGCUAUCAGAUGAGCCCAGGUCGGAUUAGCUAGUUGGUGGGGUAAAGGCGUACCAAGGCGACGAUCCGUAACUGGUCUGAGAGGAUGAUCAGUCACACUGGAACUGAGACACGGUCCAGACUCCUACGGGAGGCAGCGGUGGGGAAUAUUGGACAAUGGGCGAAAGCCUGAUCCAGCCAUGCCGCGUGUGUGAAGAAGGUCUUCGGAUUUUAAAGCUCUUUAAGUUGUGAGGAAGGACAGUAAGUUAAUACCUUGCUGUUUUGACGUUACCAACAGAAUAAGCACCGGCUAACUUCGUG
rnacentral:rRNA from 1 species